UAAUAGGACCUAGACUCUCUUAGGUCUAGCAAUUGGACUCUAUCGAUAUAAUGAAGGGGGUGGCUUCACAUUGCAUCAGAUUAUCAAGUUUGUCACCCCCGAAGAGACCUUUUAUGAAGAUUAAGUAGCGGCCAAACAGUGCUACCUUGCUACAGUCUCCACUAAGAUAGCAAUGAAAGAGGUGCAGCUGAUCGAACGAGAGCACGAGGUAUAGGAGGAUGUUGGGAGGGACUCCGAGGCUAAAGUCGUGGAAAACCUGAUAUGCUACGAAUUGGAUGAGCCAAGCUCAGAUCGGUUCUUUCUCACCAAAGCAAACCUGGAGAAUCGAGAGAGAACCGAGCUCAUCUAGUUCCUAAAAUCUAAUAUCAAGGUCUUCACAUGAACACCUUACGAGAUGCCCGGGAUAGAUUCAGAUUUUAUUAGACACGAGCUAAAUGUCCUACCCGAUGCCCGACCAGUGAAACAACACGGAAGGAGAUCCGCGCUCGAGCACGUAGAUGCAGUGAUAGAGGAGGUGAAAAAGUUAAAAGAGACAAGCGCAAUAACUGAGGUUCUUUACCUGAGUUAGUUAUCAAACACGAUCAUGGUAAAGAAAAAGACUGGAAAGUGAAGAGUUUGCAUGGACUUUUCAAGCCUCAACCGAACUUGUCCUAAAAACUGAUUCCUUUUGCCAAAAAUAGAUCAAUUGGUGGAUUCUACUUCGAGUCACGCACAAAUGAGUUUCUUGGAUGCAUACCGGAGUUACCACCAAAUUGCCAUGCAUGAGCCUGAUUAAGAGAAGACUGCAUUCAUCACCUCCCUAAGCAUGUUUUGCUAUAAGGUCAUGCCUUUUCGACUGAAUAACGCUGGUGCCACAUAUCAAAGGAUGGUCACAAAGAUGUUUGAGCCGAUCCUUGGUAGGACAAUGGAUGCAUACAUCGAUGAUAUGGUGGUCAAGAGCAAAGAAGAAUUAGACCACAUCAGGGACCUGACCGAGAUGUUCGCGAUUCUAAGAAGAUACAAGCUUAGACUAAUGUGGACCUUCGAGGUGAGCUCGGAAAAAUUCUUGAAAGUGUUCCAAAAAUGGAUGUUGACAAAUUUUUUUGUGUUUUGCCUUACUUUGUAGAUCUCGUCAACAAUUUGAAGAUAAGCAUUAUUUAGAGUUUGUACUUUGAAAAGUUUAAAUUUGUGGACCAAGCAAGGUUGUCGAUUUACUCCAAAUACUUGAUUCGUUGGCAUGAGAGAAUUCAAUAUCUCAAGACGAGGUCGAGUUCUUUUUCUCGAUGGUGGAGAAUGAUGCGGAACAAAAAUACCAAAAUUAUAUUUAUUUAUUAUUAUCUUUUAUUAUUUUCUAAUUAGUUUUCUUUUAGUAUUAGGAUUCUAGUUUUCUUUAAUAAAUUUUAUUAGUUUUUUAGUAGUAUUUUAUUUUAGUAGUCUAAUUGAUUUAGAAUUUUAGCAGAUUUAUAAUUCUAGAAGAGUCUAUUAUAAAUAAAUAUGUAACCUUAUUUUUUAAGUAGAUUAUGAUGAUGAAUAAAGAGAAAAAUGAUUGUGUUUUCUUUUCUUCCAACCUUUGAUUCUAGCAGAAGUCAAACUUCCCCCUCCCCUUCUACAUUCUUGUUAUAUUUAUAAAUUUUUUAAUAUUGAUUGAUCGUAGAGAUUCAAUUUUAUUGUUGUCCUGCGUCAUGUUAGACACUGAUAAUCCAAAUUUUUAGAGACUUCCGUGCUUCCUAGAGAAAAAUCAUUACAGAAAUUUGACUAGCAUCGAAAGCCUUCAUCUGCUGUCUUUCUUGUUGUGACAUCCAAACAUUCAAAAAUAAAUGAUUUUCCUGGUAGUCCUGGUUUUCCCAGAUCCUGACCUCCCACUUGAGGUGCAAAAACAAGACAAACUAACGUUGGGGAUUUUUCCUAUCAAACACAAUUAGAAGCAACCAACAUUGACCAGCACUACUUUUGGUUAUGCCGCAGAGGUCUAAAGAAGUGCAGAAGUCGCAUCAAAUCUAUUUCAUCCUCCUCCAUCAUUUCAACAAUUCCUUGUGUUGGCUGUUGAGUGGAGGCACGCGGUUUAAGCAAUGAUUUAUAAACUAACAAACUGGCAAGACCCAAAUGCCUAGCAACCUUAAGGCCCAGCUGACCCUAGGGUAAGCCCAUCAAGGCAUUGGACUUGAGCAACCAUCAGCCCCCCAAAAAAAUAAAAAAUAAAAAAUAAAAAUAAUAAUUCACCUCCAUCACUCGCGUCAUUUUACAUUCAAUGUGAUUGUCAUAACUUAAACCUUGCACUAUGUGAUAUGGCAAAACCCUUGCUUCUCUUCACCACCUAUAACUUACAUCAAGACCCUUGCUUAAAUGCAGUUGGACCCUGGAACAUCAAAUGUCUAUAAUAUUUUGUUGUUGUAGAACUUGAACAGUAGAAGCACUCUCACUCAACUUUGUCUCACUCACUCACCAAGUGUAUCACUCUUAGAUUUCUUGUUGGCUUUCUUGUGUUUAAAA
rnacentral:lncRNA from 1 species